AUGAAACUGGUACGGCUCUUUGUGAUGAUGAGAAUUGGGAGCAUAUAUAAACUCAUUGUCAGGCAAGUGAUCAGCUCAUUAUCGAUCAAACCAAUUGAAGCUAGCAUUUACGAAGCUUUCUCUCUAUCGUAUAUAUAUUUUGUUAGAGCCUGCAGACAAAUCAUGUCAGUUUCAUUAGAAGCUUUAGCAAUGGCGGGUACAGACUACCGUUCAAUUGCUAUGACUGUGGAAGAAUGGGAGCGCUGCGACUUGGAGCUGUCUCCUCCACAUUUACUAGCGGAAGAUGAAGAAGAAAAAGAUGAGAGACAAUUCGAGGAACAAGUAAUGGGAAAAGAAACUAAGAAAGGGAGAGAAGGAGGAAAUUUCCCAACGCCCAUUUCCUGCUGA
rnacentral:lncRNA from 1 species